UAGGCACAAAUUACACUAUUACCAGAACAAGAUCAAAGCGAGGUUACUAGCCCCGAUCCUCCACUUCCAGAACCUUCAAGAUGCACUGUGCAUUCAUUUUGCAAGACACUGACUGCUUCUGAUACAAGCACCCAUGGCGGAUUCUCUGUCCUCAGGAGGCAUGCGGAUGAUUGUCUGCCACCACUGGUAGCUCUAGAGUUUUAGCUAUUUGUCUCCUUGUUUGUUAUGCUGUGUUUUUUAUUUUGUAAAUAUAUUAUUCUAUUUAUGUACCUCCCUCGCCCCUAUUGUUCCUUUGGACA